UGGGGGAUAUUGCACAAUGGGCGAAAGCCUGAUGCAGCGACGCCGCGUGGGGGAUGAAGGCUUUCGGGUUGUAAACCUCUUUCGCUAUCGAACAAGGCCCGCUUAGGGUGGGUUGAGGGUAGGUGGAGAAGAAGCGCCGGCUAACUACGUGCCAGCAGCCGCGGUAAUACGUAGGGCGCGAGCGUUGUCCGGAAUUAUUGGGCGUAAGGGGCUUGUAGGCGGCUUGUUGCGCCUGCUGUGAAAACGCGGGGCUUAACUUCGCGCGUGCAGUGGGUACGGGCAGGCUUGAGUGUGGUAGGGGUGACUGGAAUUCCAGGUGUAGCGGUGGAAUGCGCAGAUAUCUGGAGGAACACCGAUGGCGAAGGCAGGUCACUGGGCCAUUACUGACGCUGAGGAGCGAAAGCAUGGGUAGCGAACAGG
rnacentral:rRNA from 1 species